UUCGGGGAGUUGCUAAACAAACUGUGAUCCGGAGAUUUCUGAAUGGGGGAACCCGUCUUGAGUAAUGUUGAGACAUUUAUAACUGAAUACAUAGGUUAUAAAGGCAAACGAGGGGAACUGAAACAUCUUAGUACCCUCAGGAAAAGAAAACAAUAGUGAUUUUCAAAGUAGCGGCGAGCGAAAUGAAAAUAGCCCAAACCCAAUAUGUGUAAGCCCGAAAGCGUUGUAUAUUGGGGGUCGUGGGGUUUGAUGUUGCAUAGUUUCGGAUAUGCAAAAAGAGUUACAAAGUUGAUUUAUAACCGAAAAGUCUGGAAAGACUUACCAUAGAAUGUGAUAGUCAUUUAGGUGAAAUGAAUCAGCCUCUUUAUCAAAUUCCCAAGUAUUGCGGGACACGAGAAAUCCUGUGAGAAUUUGUGAGGACCAUCUCAUAAGGCUAAAUACUACCUGAUAACCGAUAGUGAACUAGUACCGUGAGGGAAAGGUGAAAAGAACCCCUGUUAGGGGAGUGAAAUAGUACUUGAAACCGUUUGCUUACAAGCAGUGGGAGCUGGACAAUUUUUUGAGAGUCUAGUGACUGCAUGCCUUUUGCAUAAUGAGUCAGCGAGUUACUUUGUGUAGCGAGGUUAAGCCAUAGGGUGUAGCCGGAGCGAAAGCGAGUCUUAAUAGGGCGUAUUAGUUGCACGAAGUAGACCCGAAACCAAGUGAGCUAUUCAUGGCCAGGGUGAAGCGUAAGUAAAAUUGCGUGGAGGCCCGAACCGUUGUAGGUUGAAAACUGCUCGGAUGAGCUGUGAAUAGGGGUGAAAGGCCAAACAAACUUGGAAAUAGCUGGUUCUCCUCGAAAUAUAUUUAGGUAUAGCCUUGCAAAAUUAGUAACGGGGGUAGAGCACUGAAUGGGCUAGGGGUCCUACCAGAUUACCAAACCUAAUCAAACUCCGAAUACCGUUAACUAUAAUUGCAGGAGUCAGACUACGGGAGCUAAGUUUCGUGGUCGAGAGGGAAACAACCCAGACCGUCAGCUAAGGUCCCCAAAUAUGUGCUAAGUGGGAAAGGAAGUGGAAAUGCUCAGACAGCCAGGAGGUUGGCUUAGAAGCAGUCAUCCUUUAAAGAAAGCGUAACAGCUCACUGGUCGAGUGGGUUUGCACCGAAAAUGUAACGGGGCUAAAGCACAUUACCGAAGCUGCGGGUAUCAAAAAAUAUUUAUUUUUUGGUACGGUAGAGGAGCAUUCUGUUAAGGCUGAAGGUUAUUCGUAAGGAUAGCUGGACAUAACAGAAGAGACCAUGCUGACAUGAGUAACGAUAAAGCGGGUAAGAAACCCGCUCGCCGUAAACCUAAGGUUUCCUUGAGUAAAGCUAAUCUGCUCAGGGUUAGUCGAUCCCUAAGCCGAGGCCGAAAGGCGUAGGCGAUGGAAAACAGGUUAAUAUUCCUGUACCACCAUCUUAUCAUUAUAAAGCGAUGGGGUGACACAGGAGGGUAGGUCAUCCGUCUGUUGGAAUAGACGGUUUAAGCCCGUAGGCGGAAAGAACAGGUAAAACUGUUCUUUUUUUAACGCUGAGAGGUGAUGAGGAGUCUUUUUUAAUAAAAGACAUAACUGACUAAUCCCAUGCUGUCGAGAAAAGCCUCUAGUGAGAUAAGAAGGUGAUCGUACCGCAAACCAACACAGGUAGGUAAGGAGAGAAUCCUAAGGCGCUUGAGAGAACCCUGGUUAAGGAACUCGGCAAAAUGAUACCGUAACUUCGGGAGAAGGUAUGCCCACAUUAGGUGAAACAAAUUUUUUUAAAAAUUAUCUUGUGGAGCUGAAGUGGGUCGCAGAGAAAUGGCGGUAGCGACUGUUUACUAAAAACACAGGACUCUGCUAAGUUGUAAGACAAUGUAUAGGGUCUGACGCCUGCCCGGUGCCGGAAGGUUAAGGGGAUGUGUUAGUGGUACUUUUGUACUACGAAGCAUUGAACUGAAGCCCUGGUAAACGGCGGCCGUAACUAUAACGGUCCUAAGGUAGCGAAAUUCCUUGUCGGGUAAGUUCCGACCUGCACGAAUGGCGUAACGACUUCCGCACUGUCUCAACCAGGGACUCAGUGAAAUUGUAUUGGCGGUGAAGAUGCCGUCUACCCGCGAAAAGACGGAAAGACCCCGGCACCUUUACUACAGCUUGACAUUGGAUUUUGGAAUACUAUGUGUAGGAUAGGUGGGAGGCUAUGAAACCGAAACGUUAGUUUCGGUGGAGCCAGCCUUGAAAUACCACCCUUACUAUUUUAGGGUUCUAAUUUUGUUCCGUAAUCCGGGCAAAAGACAGUGUUUGGUGGGUAGUUUGACUGGGGCGGUCGCCUCCCAAAGAGUAACGGAGGCGCGCGAAGG
rnacentral:rRNA from 1 species